UUGCUGCUUUGCUGACGAGUGGCGGACGGGUGAGUAAUGUCUGGGAAACUGCCUGAUGGAGGGGGAUAACUACUGGAAACGGUAGCUAAUACCGCAUAACGUCGCAAGACCAAAGAGGGGGACCUUCGGGCCUCUUGCCAUCGGAUGUGCCCAGAUGGGAUUAGCUAGUAGGUGGGGUAACGGCUCACCUAGGCGACGAUCCCUAGCUGGUCUGAGAGGAUGACCAGCCACACUGGAACUGAGACACGGUCCAGACUCCUACGGGAGGCAGCAGUGGGGAAUAUUGCACAAUGGGCGCAAGCCUGAUGCAGCCAUGCCGCGUGUAUGAAGAAGGCCUUCGGGUUGUAAAGUACUUUCAGCGGGGAGGAAGGGAGUAAAGUUAAUACCUUUGCUCAUUGACGUUACCCGCAGAAGAAGCACCGGCUAACUCCGUGCCAGCAGCCGCGGUAAUACGGAGGGUGCAAGCGUUAAUCGGAAUUACUGGGCGUAAAGCGCACGCAGGCGGUUUGUUAAGUCAGAUGUGAAAUCCCCGGGCUCAACCUGGGAACUGCAUCUGAUACUGGCAAGCUUGAGUCUCGUAGAGGGGGGUAGAAUUCCAGGUGUAGCGGUGAAAUGCGUAGAGAUCUGGAGGAAUACCGGUGGCGAAGGCGGCCCCCUGGACGAAGACUGACGCUCAGGUGCGAAAGCGUGGGGAGCAACAGG
rnacentral:rRNA from 1 species